UACGAAGGGGGCGAGCGUUGUUCGGAUUUACUGGGCGUAAAGGGCGCGCAGGCGGCGCAUUUUGUCAGGCGUGAAAGCCCCGGGCUUAACCUGGGAACUGCGUUUGAUACGGAUGGGCUAGAGUUCGGGAGAGGAGAGUGGAAUUCCCAGUGUAGAGGUGAAAUUCGUAGAUAUUGGGAAGAACACCGGUGUCGAAGGCGGCUCUCUGGACCGAGACUGACGCUGAGGCGCGAAAGCGUGGGGAGCAAACAGG
rnacentral:rRNA from 1 species